rnacentral:rRNA from 1 species
CCUACGGGAGGCAGCAGUAGGGAAUCUUCCACAAUGGGCGAAAGCCUGAUGGAGCAACGCCGCGUGGGUGAAGAAGGUCUUCGGAUCGUAAAACCCUGUUGUUAGAGAAGAAAGUGCGUGAGAGUAACUGUUCACGUUUCGACGGUAUCUAACCAGAAAGCCACGGCUAACUACGUGCCAGCAGCCGCGGUAAUACGUAGGUGGCAAGCGUUAUCCGGAUUUAUUGGGCGUAAAGGGAACGCAGGCGGUCUUUUAAGUCUGAUGUGAAAGCCUUCGGCUUAACCGGAGUAGUGCAUUGGAAACUGGGAGACGUGAGUGCAGAAGAGGAGAGUGGAACUCCAUGGGUAGCGGUGAAAUGCGUAGAUAUAUGGAAGAACACCAGUGGUGAAAGCGGCUCUCUGGUCUGUAACUGACGCUGAGGUUCGAAAGCGUGGGUAGUAAACAGGAUUAGAUACCCGGGUAGUC